GGCAUGGGUGGCUCGCGGUCUUGAUCGAAUGGUCUGAAACGUGAUUUGGAUUGAUUAAGGAGUCUUAAUCAUGAUCUAAGUCGUGAUUAAGGUCUAUAAAAGUCCUGUGCAUGAAACAGAGAGGUAAGUUGUUGGUUUUUUCGCCGCCGUACGAACCAGAGGAGAGAGAGAGGCGUGAGGCUGCUGUGAGAGAAGGAGCAGGAGGCUCCUGGACAGCGGUCGCCAGACUCUUCAGGGGUUCAGAGGGUCUAUGGAGCCAACCUAAAAGAAAUCAAUAACCUUCCCUCACUGAAAUCUCUGGAAAUAGAGAAGUGCCCAAAGUUGGAGCAGGUGGAGAAUCUGGAUAAGUUGCAAGUUCUGAGAGUAAUAUUUUCUCGUUCCACAGAGACAUCCACCACCGAUGGUGAUGGCCAUUGGAGCUACUUGGACAGCAUUCUCUUCAAGAAUUUAAACUAAGAUGCAGCUUACUACUCCUUAAGACCUUCCUCAAGGACGGCCCCAACUGGCCCAUCAUUCAGCCGAUCCCCCGGGACGAGAUCAAUAAGCCUUGGCAUCCAGAAUGUAGCAGCUCAUCAUAUAUUCGGUAUACAAAGGAUCCACCCGAAGCCAACGUCGUGGAAUCAGAAGAAUCAGUGGACUGAUAAAGCAAGGGUCCACAAGCAUCCUCCUUUCACUGAGUUACCAAUGCUCCUGUUUCUUUCUCGAAGAUAGAGGAUCACUGGGUGCUCAAGAUUUUUUCAAUCUUUAGCUUGAUGCUUUUUUCCCCCUCCUUUCAUUGGUUCCGUUGUUUGAUUUAAACCUUUCUGUUGGAUUUCAUGUUGUUCUGUAAUUUCUAUUUCUUGGACUUCUGAUCCGUUUGUAAUUUCCUUUUCCUGUUGGUUUGAUGACAUUAUCAUUUGCUGGUGUGCCACUUUUAGAAAUUUGUAUGCAAUAAAUCAGUAGUUUUUCUCCCUCCCUUUGUCUUUGAUGUUUCUUUCUCCUUAAUCUUCGAGGCCAACUUGAAUUCCUUAAGGGGGUGUUUGGUUUGUAACCAAAAUCGGGAUGGGAGUGGGAAUCAGAAUGACUUAGAAUCGGAAUUGGAAUGACCAAAUCUCUCGAAGCAUUUGGUUUGUUACUGGAAUCGAAAUCAGAAUGGAUGAUUUUCA